rnacentral:rRNA from 1 species
UACGAAGGGGGCUAGCGUUGCUCGGAAUCACUGGGCGUAAAGGGCGCGUAGGCGGCCAUUCAAGUCAGGGGUGAAAGCCUGUGGCUCAACCACAGAAUUGCCUUUGAUACUGUUUGGCUAGAGACCGGAAGAGGUAAGUGGAACUGCGAGUGUAGAGGUGAAAUGCGUAGAUAUCGGGAGGAACACCAGUGGCGAAGGCGGGUCUCUGGGCCGAUACUGACGCUGAGGAGCGAAAGCGUGGGGAGCGAACAGG